rnacentral:rRNA from 1 species
GAUGAACGCUGGCGGCGUGCCUAAUACAUGCAAGUCGAGCGAACGGACGAGAAGCUUGCUUUUCUGAUGUUAGCGGCGGACGGGUGAGUAACACGUGGAUAACCUACCUAUAAGACUGGGAUAACUUCGGGAAACCGGAGCUAAUACCGGAUAAUAUUUUGAACCGCAUGGUUCAAAAGUGAAAGACGGUCUUGCUGUCACUUAUAGAUGGAUCCGCGCUGCAUUAGCUAGUUGGUAAGGUAACGGCUUACCAAGGCAACGAUGCAUAGCCGACCUGAGAGGGUGAUCGGCCACACUGGAACUGAGACACGGUCCAGACUCCUACGGGAGGCAGCAGUAGGGAAUCUUCCACAAUGGGCGAAAGCCUGACGGAGCCACGCCGCGUGAGUGAUGAAGGUCUUCGGAUCGUAAAACUCUGUUAUUAGGGAAGAACAUAUGUGUAAGUAACUCUGCACAUCUUGACGGUACCUAAUCAGAAAGCCACGGCUAACUACGUG